rnacentral:ncRNA from 2 species
AUUGGUGAUGUAGCACUCGGUACUCUGUUUCACGCGAGCGGAAGUACGGAAGCCGGUGUGAAUCCGGCGCGGCCCCGCCACUGUGAGGGGUAGUUGGUCGACUCAAGCGCCACUGGGCAACCGGGAAGGCGAGCCGACGACCCGAGCCAGGAGACGUAACCCGCUUUGCACCACCGAA